rnacentral:rRNA from 1 species
AUUGAACGCUGGCGGCAGGCCUAACACAUGCAAGUCGAGCGGAUGAAGGGAGCUUGCUCCUGGAUUCAGCGGCGGACGGGUGAGUAAUGCCUAGGAAUCUGCCUGGUAGUGGGGAUAACGUCCGGAAACGGGCGCUAAUACCGCAUACGUCCUGAGGGAGAAAGUGGGGGAUCUUCGGACCUCACGCUAUCAGAUGAGCCUAGGUCGGAUUAGCUAGUUGGUGGGGUAAAGGCCUACCAAGGCGACGAUCCGUAACUGGUUUGAGAGGAUGAUCAGUCACACUGGAACUGAGACACGGUCCAGACUCCUACGGGAGGCAGCAGUGGGGAAUAUUGGACAAUGGGCGAAAGCCUGAUCCAGCCAUGCCGCGUGUGAAGAAGGUCUUCGGAUUGUAAAGCACUUUAAGUUGGGAGGAAGGGCAGUAAGUUAAUACCUUGCUGUUUUGACGUUACCAACAGAAUAAGCACCGGCUAACUUCGUG